rnacentral:rRNA from 1 species
GAUGAACGCUGACAGAAUGCUUAACACAUGCAAGUCGACUUGAAUUUGGGUUUUUAACUUAGGUUUGGGUGGCGGACGGGUGAGUAACGCGUAAAGAACUUGCCUCCCAGCUAGGGACAACAUUUGGAAACGAAUGCUAAUACCUAAUAUUAUGAUAAUAGGGCAUCCUAUAAUUAUGAAAGCUAUAAGCGCUGUGAGAGAGCUUUGCGUCCCAUUAGCUAGUUGGAGAGGUAACGGCUCACCAAGGCGAUGAUGGGUAGCCGGCCUGAGAGGGUGAUCGGCCACAAGGGGACGGAGACACGGCCCUUACUCCUACGGGAGGCAGCAGUGGGGAUUAUGGGACAAGGGACCAAGAGUCUGAUCCAGAAGUUCUGUGUGCACUAUGAAGUUUUUCGGAAUGUAAAGUGCUUGCAGUUGGGAAGAAAGAAAUGACGGUACCAACAGAAGAAGUGACGGCUAAAUACGUG